rnacentral:rRNA from 1 species
UACAGAGGUCUCAAGCGUUGUUCGGAUUUACUGGGCGUAAAGGGCGCGUAGGCGGCCACCGCAAGUCGGUUGUGAAAUCUCUGGGCUUAACCCAGAAAGGUCAACCGAUACUGCGGGGCUAGAGUGCAGAAGGGGCAACUGGAAUUCUCGGUGUAGCGGUGAAAUGCGUAGAUAUCGAGAGGAACACCUGCGGCGAAGGCGGGUUGCUGGGCCGACACUGACGCUGAUGCGCGAAAGCCAGGGGAGCGAACGGG